CGAGCACGCGCGUGUGGCAUAUCAAUAAGCGGAGGAAAAGAAACUAACAAGGAUUCCCCUAGUAACGGCGAGUGAAGCGGGAAGAGCUCAAAUUUGAAAUCUUCAAGGGUUUCCCUUGACGAAUUGUAGUUUAAAGAAGUGUUUUCUGUUAGAGAGGUGGUAAAAGUUCUUUGGAAUAGGACAUCAUAGAGGGUGAGAAUCCCGUAUUUGAUCACUUUCUACUAACGUUGUGAUACACUUUCAAAGAGUCGGAUUGUUUGGGAAUGCAGUCCAAAAUGGGUGGUAAAUUUCAUCUAAAGCUAAAUAUUGGCGAGAGACCGAUAGCGAACAAGUACCGUGAGGGAAAGAUGAAAAGAACUUUGAAAAGAGAGUUAAACAGUACGUGAAAUUGUCAAAAGGGAAGCGUUUGACACCAGUGUUGUUUUUCCGAAAAUCAAUUAUGAAUGGCUUGAUUUUAAGUUUCAUGACCUUAAAAGCUUGUUUCUUAUUUUUCAUGUCUUUCGUAAUGCACUUUUCGGUUAACAAGUCAACAUCAAUUUCUUUUGCUGUAAAAGGGUAAGAGGAAGGUGGCUUCAGCUUCGGUUGAAAGUGUUUAUAGCCUUUUAACUCUGCAAUCGGAGAGAUUGAGGUCCUGCAGCGUAGAUCCUUCGGGGUUAGAUACAUUUGUGCUAAGUUAUAGCUUUUCAUAGACAACUUGUUGACUAUGUUAAGUCUUGUAAUUUACUCGCAGAUGCUAUUUUACCUACGCUUAGGAUGUUGAUGUGAUACUGCGAGCA
rnacentral:rRNA from 1 species